ACCUUCCUUGUCUUGGGGAGCAGAAAUGUCCAAUGAACGUAUAGUGAGGACAUUGCUGCUGACACCAAUGAUAUUAACAUCAGCCCCCGUUUGCUGAUCAUCUCGUGAUUAGCUUUCGGAAUUUUUGGAAAAAGGCCCCCUUACUUUAUAGGGGGUCGU
rnacentral:ncRNA from 1 species